UACGUAGGGAGCGAGCGUUAUCCGGAUUUAUUGGGUGUAAAGGGUGCGUAGACGGGAGAAUAAGUUAGUUGUGAAAUCCCUCGGCUUAACUGAGGAACUGCAACUAAAACUAUUUUUCUUGAGUACUGGAGAGGAAAGUGGAAUUCCUAGUGUAGCGGUGAAAUGCGUAGAUAUUAGGAGGAACACCAGUGGCGAAGGCGACUUUCUGGACAGAAACUGACGUUGAGGCACGAAAGUGUGGGGAGCAAACAGG
rnacentral:rRNA from 1 species